rnacentral:rRNA from 1 species
CCUACGGGAGGCAGCAGUGAGGAAUAUUGGUCAAUGGGAGGAAUCCUGAACCAGCCAUGCCGCGUGCAGGACGACGGCUCUACGAGUUGUAAACUGCUUUUGUACCGGGGUAAAAUGCCUUACGUGUAGGGUUUUGAAAGUACGGUACGAAUAAGGAUCGGCUAACUCCGUGCCAGCAGCCGCGGUAAUACGGAGGAUCCGAGGGUUAUCCGGAUUCAUUGGGUUUAAAGGGUGCGUAGGGUGUUUUAUAAGUUAGCGGUGAAAUACCGAUGCUCAAAAUCGUGGCUGCCGCUCAUACUGUCGGUCUAGCGCUCGGAUGCAGCAGUCGGAAUGUGUAGUGUAGCGG